rnacentral:rRNA from 1 species
UACGUAGGUGGCAAGCGUUGUCCGGAAUUAUUGGGCGUAAAGCGCGCGCAGGCGGUUUCUUAAGUCUGAUGUGAAAGCCCCCGGCUCAACUGGGGAGGGUCACGCGAUACUGAUCGACUCGAAGGCAGGAGAGGGUAGUGGAAUUCCCGGUGUAGUGGUGAAAUGCGUAGAUAUCGGGAGGAACACCAGUGGCGAAGGCGACUACCUGGCCUGUUCUUGACGCUGAGGCGCGAAAGCUAGGGGAGCAAACGGG